AAAAAUGGUGUUUAAUGCAUUCGAAACUUUGAAUAUUUGCUCUACUUGUUUUUUUGUAUUUCCUUCCUGCAUCUCUCUGGAAAUCUCAAAGCAGGGAUUAAUGAGUGACAGGUGUGAGGAGACCAGGAAAGAUUGUAGAGGGUAUGUGUGCACCAUCACAGUCUAUGUGAAAGUUCUCUCACAGAGUUUGCAGCUGGAUGCUCAGAAAAGCUUGUUUGAUGUCCAAGAAACUUCACAGGAGAAACAAAAAGACACAAUCUUUUAUGGGUGAC
ensembl:lncRNA